CCCUUAGAUGUUCUGGGCUGCACGCGUGCUACACUGAUAUUGCCAAUAUGUCAUUCUUAUCCGAAAUGGAUUGGGUAAUCAAGUAAUGAAAUUUCAUGCUUGGAAUCGGUAAUUGCAAUUUUAUCGUGAACGAGGAAUUCCUAGUAAGCACUAGCCAUCAGCUAAUGUUGAUUAUGUCCCUGCCCUUUGUACACACCGCCCGUCGCUACUACUGAUUGGGUGUUCAAGUGAGAUGCUUAGACCCUUGUUGCAUGGUUCAUUAUUGUGCUCCGAAAGGAAAAAGUUUCAAGCUUGAGUGUCUAGAGGAAGUAAAAGUCGUAACA
rnacentral:rRNA from 1 species